GCCCAGCCCAGGGGACAGCAAGUGGAGAGGAGGUGGAGGAAAGAUGUGGAUCCUCUGCCGGGAAGUAAAAUGGGAACAGCAACCAAGCUGGCACUGCAUUCUGACCUCCUUUCCCCACGAGUGGCUCAGGUGCUCCAAAGGUUGGAGCUGCACCUCCAUCAGCAAGAGGCUUUUGCCAGCACAGCGGAAAGAAACCGGCAGAAGCUGGAGCUGAAGCGGCAGCUCCCCUGUGCUCGAUGCUCGCGUCGCUCCAGAGGGGAAGGUGCAGCCAAUGGUGGUGACCGCGGUGGAGCUCUCGGCAAGGGGGCUGGGAAGCUGUCCAGAUUUCCACCUGUGAAUGGAAGAUCGUAGAAUCAAAGACUCAUUGAAUGGCCUAGGUUGAAAAGGGCAUUGAAGGUCGUCUAGUUUCAACCCACCUGCUAUGUGCGGGGUCGCCGACCACCAGACUGGGCUGCCCAGAGCCAUAUCCAGCCUGGCAUUGAAUGCCUCCAGGGAUGGGGCAUCCCCCACCUCUCGGCAAGCUGUUCCAGCACGUCACCACCCUCCGCGUGAAGAACUGCUAACAUCUAACCGAACUCUGCCUCCCUUCCACAGUUUAAAACCAUUCCCCCU